rnacentral:rRNA from 1 species
AGUGAACGCUGGCGGCAGGCCUAACACAUGCAAGUCGAACGGCAGCACAGUAAGAGCUUGCUCUUACGGGUGGCGAGUGGCGGACGGGUGAGGAAUACAUCGGAAUCUACUUUUUCGUGGGGGCUAACGUAGGGAAACUUACGCUAAUACCGCAUACGACCUACGGGUGAAAGCAGGGGAUCUUCGGACCUUGCGCUAUUGAAUGAGCCGAUGUCGGAUUAGCUAGUUGGCGGGGUAAAGGCCCACCAAGGCGACGAUCCGUAGCUGGUCUGAGAGGAUGAUCAGCCACACUGGAACUGAGACACGGUCCAGACUCCGACGGGAGGCAGCAGUGGGGAAUAUUGGACAAUGGGCGCAAGCCUGAUCCAGCCAUACCGCGUGGGUGAAGAAGGCCUUCGGGUUGGAAAGCCCUUUUGUUGGGAAAGAAAAGCAGCAGGUUAAUACCCCGCUGUUCUGACGGUACCCAAAGAAUAAGCACCGGCUAACUUCGUG